AUUUUUAGUCAUAGUACACUGUUGAUUUUUAUAGACGAUCAGAUCGAUAGGAAGAUUCACUUGUGGCCUAGAUCUAGAAGUUGAGAUUUCUUUUUCUAGAUUUUUUUUUAAAGCGUUGAGGUCCAAAGGAACACGUAGUUGACACAAGUUGACAAGUAGCACGUCGAUGUGCGGAUAGUCCAGGUAAAGUGUGUUGGGGGACUGUUGAAGGUGGCUUACUACACAGGGGGACCGUGUGUUUGCCAUUAGGCUAGACUAGCAGUAAGGCUAGUAUAAUAGCCGUUAACGGUUUCAAAAUCAUCGGGCACUUUUAUUUUACAAAGAGUUCCACUCACAGACCUAUAUAUGUCUGUGGUUCCUUUUUUGUGUGCAUGUGAGUGACAAGAGAUUACUAAUAUAUUAUUGAUUUACAUCUAAUAAAAAGCCAUGGCUGAAAUUAGAA
rnacentral:sRNA from 1 species